rnacentral:rRNA from 1 species
GAUGAACGCUGGCGGCGUGCCUAAUACAUGCAAGUCGAGCGAACAGACGAGGAGCUUGCUCCUCUGACGUUAGCGGCGGACGGGUGAGUAACACGUGGAUAACCUACCUAUAAGACUGGGAUAACUUCGGGAAACCGGAGCUAAUACCGGAUAAUAUAUUGAACCGCAUGGUUCAAUAGUGAAAGACGGUUUUGCUGUCACUUAUGGAUGGAUCCGCGCCGCAUUAGCUAGUUGGUAAGGUAACGGCUUACCAAGGCGACGAUGCGUAGCCGACCUGAGAGGGUGAUCGGCCACACUGGAACUGAGACACGGUCCAGACUCCUACGGGAGGCAGCAGUAGGGAAUCUGCCGCAAUGGGCGAAAGCCUGACGGAGCAACGCCGCGGGAGUGAUGAAGGUCUUCGGAUCGUAAAACUCUGUUAUUAGGGAAGAACAAAUGUGUAAGUAACUAUGCACGUCUUGACGGUACCUAAGCAGAAAGCCACGGCUAACUACGU